AAGUGUUAGGGAAACAGAACGCUCCCGUCCGCCAGGACAUGUGAGGGGCCCGUCCCCACUCUGAAAUGGAGACGCCUCACAGCACCUCAGCCGCUCCAGCGACGAAGGAAGACCGAUGAGCCGCGAACGCAAGACGCCGUGACGGGGGCAAGACUCAUACCUCACCGGUUCUCGUGAUUCUGAAGUCCAGUGAGGGGACUGGGUGAACGCGCUCGCAAAUGACAAGGCGCCGCACAAACGCAGGCCGUGCGGAAGCUCCCCCCGGCUUCGGAAGAGCGGAGCUUGGCCGUCGUGAGAUCUCGGGCCGUCCGGCGUCCAGCCCUGUUAGUGCGUGUCCCUCCUGGCUGCCCAGGCCACACCGGUCCCUGCGGUGGGCACGUCGCUCCUCCCGGCUCUGGCCCUCGGCUCUGACCUGCUCCGUUUCCAGCAACAGACUUCGUGUAAGAGGCGCUCAGCGAGGGCCCCCGGGGGGCCUGCCCUGACACGGUGAAGCCCGCCCGAGCGGCACCAGCUCCGGUCGCCAGCGUCCCUGAACAUCUUCGCGAGGGACCAGAGGAGAAGCAGCAUCCAAGAAAGGGUCCGUUUAAACAGCUGCUCCUACAGAUUGUAGCCGGUCGUUGGGGGUGGGAGCAGACGUGGAAAGUGGGUCGUUGUCCGGCCAGGCCCCCAUGCCGACGCACAUCUCACUUGAACCCCACGGGCCCCUCGCCCUCUGCAGCGAAUCGUUUGCCGCGUCCGGCAGCUGCCAUUGGUCAAAGCACGUGGCUCCCCGCCAGGUAGGAUCACGCACGGUGCGUAUUUAUUUCCGUGGAACUGGAUUCCAGCCAGUGUGACAGCACAGAAGAAAAGCGAAUGCCUCUCUCUGUCCAGUGGGGUCCAGUGGGGGCAUGGUGGCCCCAAAGGCAGCCGGGGCCAGGGCAGGCUGUGCACCUGCUUGCGAACGGCUCCCUGAAGAGCAGGGUGGUGAAGUCAGAGUGCAAGUUUGUGGCAGGUUUGUGGGUCCUAAUCCCACCGAAGGAUGAGUUGGUGACAGGACCUUGAGUCUGGGGUUUGCAAGGCGACUUUCCCGCGCCUCCUUCAGGAAAUGUGACUCAGUGGCCAAGCCGGUGUUGGCGUGGCUCUCCCUCCCCUGUCUCUCCCUCCCCCGCCUCCCUUCAGAUGCUGCCUGUCUCUUGCACGCUCAGGGAAUUAGGGCUCCCCUAUGACGCGGACGGCCACUGGAGCAAGAGAUCCAAAGGCAUCUGAGUUUAGGGUAAAAAGAGCCCAGAGCCGGGGAGACGGGUGGGUGGUAGGAUUCGGGGGCUAACGCAGAGUCGGCAGGAGAGGAACGCUCCCGGAGGGUGUGGCUCGUGACCCAGAGCGUCUCCUCCGACCAGAUGCCGCCUCGAAGAUUCUCCCAGAUUAUCUCAGGCUUCCCCCACCCCCCACCAGUCUCCCGGGGAUGACAGAUUCUACAUUGUGUGCCUGAGGUGGACCCCUGACAUCGGAGACGCAUCACCGCCCCCCCCCCCCCCCCCCCCGUGUGUCUACGAACGGGUCGCCGCCCGCGGGCGCAGAGCCCAGGGCCAGUCAGCCCACCGGGCCAGGCAAGAAGGUGACGUUCACAACAGGCUUUACAGGGAAAAGACGUUUCUGCCUCGCGUGACGUCCCUUUGGAGGUGUUUCUCCUUGCUCGGACGCCAGUCGGCAGUCAGGAAACGAACUUCAGUCUCAGAGAGAAGUUUCUCCAGGUGCAGCUGCUACGAGACCCAGCUGUGUGAAGGGGCGCUUCCCUCGGCCUGUCUGUGCCCCUGAUGCAGGCCCUGUGGACCUUGUCCUCUCUAUCUGCCCAGAGGGCCUGUUACCUAGCCGGUACCCAAGGGGGACGUGAUCAGACAAGACACUGCCUGCACCAAUGUCAGUCUUUCCGGCUGCGGAACAACGAGGCCUGAGAAAUUAGGCCGCCCUCCGGCACUGUGUACUGAAGCUUUGCGCAUUCCAGACUCUGAGGAUUCGUCCAGCCCGGUGCCAACGUGCGCAUAGUCUGCAAGUCAACGAUAGUUGAAGCCAAGAGAACACAAAGGUCUGCAAGUCGCUGAAACCUCGACCUGAGGCGAUGUGGACAAUGGAGGAUGCGUAGGGCACAGGAUGGCCGGAAUCGAGCCGCCUUCCCAUCUCGGUUCAGCAGCCGAAAGAGAAGAGGUCCGCUCCUCCAGGGCCCUCCGAUCAAGAUUCAGGAAGAUGGUUCCCCAUAGCCAUCCCCGCAGAGGCACGGCUACGUCCCAGUGGGGGAUAGGAGAACAUCAGAAGAGGCUCGACACUGGUGGGUUCCUCGCCUGGGCUCCCAAUAGACGUCAUCACCAUUUCUCACCGUGAGUUCUGAGCCGUCUGGCAAGUCAGUCAGAGGAACCAGCAUCUGCGGCCAAAACAGCACACGCGUGGCUGAUGAGGCCGACCUUGACGACGCG